CCUACGGGUGGCAGCAGUGGGGGAUAUUGCACAAUGGGGGAAACCCUGAUGCAGCGACGCCGCGUGGGUGAAGAAGCGCCUCGGCGCGUAAAGCCCUUUCAGUAGGGAAGUAAAUGACGAUACCUGAAGAAGAAGCCCCGGCUAACUACGUUCCAGCAGCCGCGGUAAUACGUAGGGGGCCAGCGUUAUCCGGAUUUACUGGGUGUAAAGGGGGCGCAGACGGGGAUGCAAGCCAGGAGUGAAAGCCCGGGGCCCAACCUCGGGACUGCCCUUGAAACUGCGUGGCUAGAGUGCAGGAGGGGCAGGCGGAAUUCCUGGUGUAGCGGUGAAAUGCGUAGAGAUCAGGAGGAACACCGGGGGCGAAGGCGGCCUGCUAGACUGCAACUGACGUUGAGGCCCGAAAGCGUGGGGAGCAAACAGGAUUAGAUACCCUUGUAGUC
rnacentral:rRNA from 1 species